rnacentral:rRNA from 1 species
UAGAUACCCUGGUAGUCCACCCCGUAAACGUUGGGAACUAGUUGUGGGGUCCAUUCCACGGAUUCCGUGACGCAGCUAACGCAUUAAGUUCCCCGCCUGGGGAGUACGGCCGCAAGGCUAAAACUCAAAGGAAUUGACGGGGACCCGCACAAGCGGCGGAGCAUGCGGAUUAAUUCGAUGCAACGCGAAGAACCUUACCAAGGCUUGACAUAUAGAGGAAACGUCUGGAAACAGUCGCCCCGCAAGGUCU